rnacentral:lncRNA from 1 species
UGGUGGUUUUGUAAGGGUCUGUGGAGUACAAAAAGUCCGAAAUGGUAGCAGCUAUGGUGGAGGUUCAGUAGGAGGUCCAGCAGGGCAAUGCUGGGUGGCUGAUCUUGGAUUAAGUUUUGUCUUCUACAGGGGCACCAGGAGGAGUCACGAUUCAGGUGGAGAACUAACCAGAGGUGCCUCCACAUGUGGAAAAUGGUUUCGCAUAGAUUUAGAGCCAAGGGGUGCAGGGAUAGGUGUCUGAUUCCAGCACCAGCGGUAGUGACGCAUUCCUAGAUUUAUGUAGGAUUGCAAGCACCGUGGAUCGAGGCUUUGGGGAGACCA